AUGAUGAUGAUGCCAAAACAAGAUUGCUGGCUCACAUCAUCUAAGGUACUUCAGGUCGGUGGAAGCAAUCUCUUCCAAAUCUUCAUGUUGGCUGAACAAGUAGAGCUGCGAUCACAUUUCGGCAGCCUUCUCAAGGAGGUCCAGGCACUUGAACACCUUCUCCUGGACUAUCCGGUAACCAGAGGUUUCAGUCACUACUUCUACUCCGUCCAGAAGCUUCCAGUUUCGAGCAGCUCCGGGAGCCGCAGCAACAGAACUCAUCUUCAGCAGCCAUCUUGGGGAGGGAGGAUGUAUUUUCUUUUUCUUUUUUCUUUUUUUUUUUUUGAGACGGAGUUUCGCUCUUGUUACCCAGGCUGGAGUGCAAUGGCGCAAUCUCGGCUCACUGCAACCUCCGCCUCCUGGGUUCAAGCAAUUCUCCUGCUUCAGCCUCCUGAGUAGCUGGGAUUACAGACACGCGCCACCAUGCCCAGCUAAUUUUUUGUAUUUUUAGUAGAGACGGGGUUUCACCAUGUUGACCUGGAUGGUCUCGAUCUCUUGACCUCAUGAUCCACCUGCCUCGGCCUCCCAAAGUGCUGGGAUUACAGGCUUGAGCCACCGCGCCCGGCCGGAUGUAUUUUCUUUUUAAGAGAGACAGAUCUCACUAGUUUGCCCAUGCUGGACUUAACCCCUGGGCUCAAGUGAUCUUCCCUCCUCGGCCUUCCAAGUAUCCAAAAUGUUAAAAAUUUAAAUGGAUUGAAAUCAUUCAAAUUAUCUUCUCCAAUCACAAUGGAAUAAAAUUAAAUUCAAUAACAAGGAAAUCUGGGGAAUUUGCAAAUAUGUGAAAACGAAACAAUACACUGAAAAAAAACUAAGGGUCAAAAGAGAAAUCACUGGUGGAAUUAGAAAAUACUUUGAGUUGAAUAAAAAUGAAAACACGAUAUUCCAAAACUUGUGGGAUUCAGAUAAAACAGUGCUAACAGGGAAGUUAUAGCUGUAAGCACUUGCGAUUUUAAAAAAGAAAGAUGUCAAAACAAUUGCCAUCCUUCCUCGUUAUGAAACUAAAAACGGAAGAACAAAUUAAACCCAAAGCAAGUUGGAAGAAGGAAAUAAUAAAGAUUCAAGCAGAGAUAAAUGCAAUACGAAGAGUUAUGGAGAAAAUAACCAAAAUCAAAAGCUUGUUCUUUAACGCUUUUUUACCAAUAAAAUUGAUAAAUCUUUAGCAAGACUAGCGAGAAAGAGGUAAGAUGCAGGUUUCUAAAAUUAGGAAUGAAAGAGGGAACAUGACUAUAGAGUUUACAGAAAUAGAAAAGGUUAUAAGGGACUAUUAUCAAUAAUUGCAUGUUAACAACCUGGAAAUAGGAACUCUCAAUAGCCCUAUAACAAAUGAAGAGAAUUAAAUGCUCUGGGCAUCAGUGUGCCCAGAUAAUCAGGAUUCUUAAUGCUAAGGAGGAGGAAGAUUACAGAAGGCUACCAUCAGUCUCUGCCACAACCACUGGUGACACUUAGGUUGACACUCCUAGAAUAGCAUGUAUGUGUAAUUUAUCAUGUAGACCAUUUGGUGACCUAACCAGUUUGGUUUAUUGCAAACUUAAAAUGUAACAUUUCAAAGGAAGAAAGUCUGAGUUAUUCACCAAGUUUACUACCUUGCCAAAUUGGUGAUUUGUCCAUAAAGAAACGGUUGUUUUUCUUACUUUGUUUUCUAACAGGGUAAUGUGAAGGCACUCUCUGAGAGAGCUCAUCUAAUUCUGCAGCUCCAGGUAGUAACUUUGUACUAAUUUCCCUAAAACUUUCUCUCUAGUCUAAAGUUUUCUCUUAAGUUCCAGAGCCUUAUACCCAGAGGCUUCCUGAACAUCUCCGCUUGGAUGUUUUGUAGGUGCUUCCAACUCAACAUGUCUAAAACUGGACUCUCCGGGUGUGACUUUUUUUGCUUUUUUUUUUUUUCUUUCAAAAGAUGAGUUAUCAGGCCAGGCGUGGUGGCUCAUGCCUGUAAUCCAAGCACUUUGGAGGCAAGGCGGGUGGAUCACCUGAGGUCAGGAGUUCAAGACCAGCCUGACCAACAUGGUGAAACCCCGUCUUAAAAAUAAAUAAAUAAAUAAAAAUAAACAAAAGAUGAGGUAUCACUAUGUUACCCAGGCUGGUUUUGAACUCCUGGGCUCAAGCGAUCCUUUUACCCCAGCCUCCUGAGUAGCUGGGACUAGGCAUGUACCACUGUGCCCAACUUGAGUGUGGCCUUUCUGAUCAAAAGGUAACCUUUUUGGCUGGGCACAGCGGCUCACAUCUGUAAUCCCAGCACAUAGUGGGGCUGAGAUGGACUGAUCACUUGAGACUAAGAGUUUGAGACUAGCCUGGGCAACAUGAUGAAACCCCAUCUCUAAAAAAAUAAAAAUAAAGAAUUAGCUGGACACAGUGGCAUGCGUCUAUAGUCCCAGCCACUUGGAAAGCUGAGGUGGGAGGAUUGCUUGAGCCUGUGUUUGUGAAGUGGUAUCUCACUGCGUUUCCGAUUUGCAUUUUCCUGAUGAUUAGUGGUCUUGGGCAUCUUUUCGUGCGCUAACUGGUCAUUUGUACAUCUUCAUUUUGUUUCGUUUUAUAAUUUUUAAUAGAGACAGCGUAGAGACAGCGUCUCACUAUGUUUCGCAGGCUGAUCUUGAACUCCUGGCCAGAAGCAGUCCUCCUGCCUUGGCCUCCCAAAAUGUACACACCCAGUCUGUAUAUCUUCUUUGGAAAAAUACCUAUUUAAUUCCUGUGCCUUUUAAAAAAUCAAGUUGUUUGUUGUCAUGUUCUUCUUGACUUGUAGGAGUUAUUUAUACAUUCUGGACAUUAAUCCCUUGUUAGAUAUAUGAUUUGCAUAUAUAUUCUUCCAUCAUGGGUUACCUUUUCACUCUGUUGAUAGUGUAUUUGAUGCAUGAAAGUUUUUACUUCUGAAGAGUUCAGUUUAUCUAUUUUUUCUUUGAUUGCCUGUGUGCUUGGUGUUGUAUCCAAGAAUCAUUGUCAAAUCCAGUGUCCUGAAGUUUUUCCCUGUUUUUGUCUAAGAGUUUUAUAGUGUUGCUCUUAUGUUUAGAGCUUCUGGUAACUCUCCCCCAUUCUAAAGCUAUCUAGGAGAUAUCAGCCACCAGUCAUUUCAUCAGCCUGCAAAAGACACUCAUUACUCCAGACAUUCCAAGAGUUUUAGGAACUUUGUGUCAGAAAUUGGAGCC
rnacentral:lncRNA from 1 species